rnacentral:rRNA from 1 species
AAUAGAUACCCCAGGUAGUCCACGCCGUAAACGUUGGAUACUAGGUGUGGCGGUCUUACCAACGACUGCCGUGCCGAAGCUAACGCAUUAAGUAUCCCGCCUGGGGAGUACGGCCGCAAGGCUAAAACUCAAAGGAAUUGACGGGUCCCCGCACAAGCGGCGGAGCAUGCGGCUUAAUUCGAUGCAACCCGAAGAACCUUACCUGGGUUUGACAUCACGGGAAAAGCUGUAGAAAUACAGUGUCCGUAAGGGCCCGUGACAGGUGGUGCAUGGCUGUCGUCAGCUCGUGUCGUGAGAUGUUGGGUUAAGUCCCGCAACGAGCGCAACCCUUGUCCUAUGUUGCCAGCAGUUCGGCUGGGGGUACUCGUAGGAGACUGCCGGGGGAUAACUCGGAGGAAGGUGAGGACGACGUCAAGUCAUCAUGCCCCUUAUAUCCAGGGCUGCACGCAUGCUACAAUGGCCGGUACAACGGGCAGCGACCCCGCGAGGGUGAGCGAAUCCUAUAAAGCCGGUCCCAGUUCGGAUUGAAGUCUGCAACUCGACUUC